CGCCCCUCGCCUGCCACCCGCCGGAGCCUCCGCUGCAGCCACCGCAGGAGGCCCAGGGCCCGGGCCACGCGCAGGAACCGCCACUUGAGGAUCUGGCUGCCCGCGGGCGCCCACAGCCCUGGGCUGCGCACCUCACUGCUUCUGCCCUGGCGGGGGCUUCGGGCUCAAUCUACCGCCAGCGUCUCCCGCCUUCUGCGCGGGCAUCAAUAAUGCAGGCGGCCCCGGUUCCUGAUCCCCUCGGCCAACAAUGGAGCGGAGGCCGCCCAGGAAAGAGGAGACGCUGCAGCUGCGGACAAAGGCCGUGGACAGGGCAACCGUGCCGCUCGGGAGUCGCUGCCAGCCGGGCCGCCCUGGCACCGCGCCAAACGGGGCCACGCUCUGCUCCCGCCGCACUGCUUGCCCAGCAGUGGGUGAGGGGGCGCUGAGAGAACCUGUCUGGGCUGUUCUCCUCCUGGGGGCUCUAGGGGGCACCCUCCCUCCUCACUUAGCCCCUGGAUUGCCCCAGGAGGCUGGCACCCGGCUGACCCGGGUCCACAGCAAGCUCUCCGUGAGCUUUGUUAGUCCUUGUUGUUGAUCUUUUAGGUUGUGAAAUAUAAUUUAAAGAAAACUGCAUAAAACCUACGUGUUCACCUUGAACUGAUGUGAGACAAAUGCCCUGGACCCUCUUUGAGUCGUGGAAAAUAACCAGACCCCAUAAAUCCCUGAUUGCUCCAUGUGUGUGUUGUUUAAAUAUUUGAUUUUUGAGCAGAUAAUACAUUCACAGAGUUCAAAAUCCACAAGAUAAAAGUCUCCCAUUCCUGUUCUUCAGCCACUCAGUUUUCCCUGAGCUUACCCAUUUCUUGUAUUUCCUUCCAGAACAAUCCAUGCAGAGAAAAGCAGCAAAUAUUUGAUUUUCCCCUUUGAGCCCAGAUGGAAGCUUAUCUGGUUCAUGGUUUUUCACUUUGUGUUUUGAACUUAACAGAUUCACUUGGAGAUUUCAUCCUAGAACAUAAAGAUCUUAAUUUUCUUUCUUUUUUUCACAACUGCGUAGUAUUCCAGCAAAUGAAUGUGCCAUUGUUUAACCAAUUCUUUAUUGACACAUUUUUUAUAUCUGAAGCAGAUGCUGCCUUCACUCCAUCUUUUGUUCCAGUCACAAACAACACUGGACUGUCAUUUCACCCGUGUCCAAGUAGAAUCAUUUCCUAGAAGUAGAAUUGCUGGACCAUAGGGUAUGUACAUUUGUAAUCCGAAGAUUUCCAAAUUUUCCUCCAUGAAGGUUGUACCAAUUUACACUCCCACCACCCAUUUCCACGUAGCACUAAAGGAUGGUGUUACUGAAUAUUUUUGCCGCUCUGACACAUGACAAAUAAAAUCUCCAUGCUGUUUAAGUUCA